UGCCAGCCGCCGCGGUAAUACGGAGGGUGCAAGCGUUAAUCGGAAUUACUGGGCGUAAAGCGCUCGUAGGCGGUUGAUUAAGUCGGAUGUGAAAGCCCAGGGCUUAACCUUGGAACUGCAUUCGAUACUGGUCAGCUAGAGUACAGUAGAGGCAAGUGGAAUUUCCUGUGUAGCGGUGAAAUGCGUAGAGAUGUGGAGGAAUACCAGUGGCGAAGGCGGCCUCCUGGAUCGAUACUGACGCUGAGGUGCGAAAGCGUGGGGAGCAAACAGGAUUAGAUA
rnacentral:rRNA from 1 species